rnacentral:rRNA from 1 species
UACGUAGGGUGCAAGCGUUGUCCGGAAUUAUUGGGCGUAAAGAGCUCGUAGGCGGUCUGUCGCGUCGGCUGUGAAAACCCGGGGCUCAACCCCGGGCCUGCAGUCGAUACGGGCAGACUAGAGUGCGGUAGGGGAGACUGGAAUUCCUGGUGUAGCGGUGGAAUGCGCAGAUAUCAGGAGGAACACCGGUGGCGAAGGCGGGUCUCUGGGCCGAUACUGACGCUGAGAAGCGAAAGCGUGGGGAGCGAACAGG